AGAGUUUGAUCAUGGCUCAGAUUGAACGCUGGCGGCAGGCCUAACACAUGCAAGUCGAACGGUAACAUUUCUAGCUUGCUAGAAGAUGACGAGUGGCGGACGGGUGAGUAAUGCUUGGGAACUUGCCUUUGCGAGGGGGAUAACAGUUGGAAACGACUGCUAAUACCGCAUAAUGUCUUCGGACCAAACGGGGCUUCGGCUCCGGCGCAAAGAGAGGCCCAAGUGAGAUUAGCUAGUUGGUAAGGUACCGGCUUACCAAGGCGACCAUCUCUAGCUGUUCUGAAGAAGAAGAUCAGCCACACUGGGACUGAGAC
rnacentral:rRNA from 1 species